rnacentral:lncRNA from 1 species
GCCUGCUGCCACGUAAGACAUUUCUUUGCAUUUCUUUCAUUUUCCACCAUGAUUGUGAGGCCUCCCCAGCCAUGUGGAACUGUAAGUCAACUAAAUUUCUUUCUUUUAUAAAUUAUCCAGUCUCGGGUAUGUCUUUAUUAGAAGCAUGAGAACAGACUAAUAUAAGUAUGUCGAAGAGAUGCCUGUACUCCCAUGUUUAUUGCAGCAUUAUUCACAAUAGCUAUGUUAUGGAAUCAACCUAAGCAUCCAUCGAGGGAUGAAUGGGUAAUGAGAAUGUGGUGUAUACACAAUGGAAUACUAUUCAGCCUUAAAAAAGGAAGAAAUUCUGUCCUUUGUGGCAGCAUAGAGGGAACUGGAGAUCAAUAUGCUAAGUGAAAUAAGCCAAUACACAAAGACAAAUGCCACAUGUUCUGCCUACAUGUGAAAUCUAAAACAGUUGAGCUCUUAGAAGCAGAGAGUGGAAUGGUAGUUACCUGAGACUGGGGACUGGGGAGUAGGGAAUGAGAAGAUGAUAAUCAAAGGGCACAAAGCCUCAGUUAGAUAGAGGAAAGAAAUGUGAGGCUUUUUUUGAUCAAUUGCACAG